rnacentral:rRNA from 1 species
GGUUGGUGGAUUGAUCUGUCUGCUUAAUUGCGAUAACGAACGAGAUCUCCGCCUCUAAAUAGGUGGACGUCACGGAUGUAUGUAGGGUUAGUCUUGUAUCUUCGGAUCAAUGCUGGCCCGAGUGUGCGUCAACACUUCUUAGAGGGACUGUGUAUGCCUAUAAUACACGGACGAUGGAGCCAAUAGCAGG